rnacentral:lncRNA from 1 species
GUUAACCGGUUAACACCUUAAAAAAUGGGAAAAAUUCCAAUUUCCAUUAAUUCUCUCACUAACUUCUUUCCUUAAUUAACUCCUCUUUUAUUUUCCUUUCCAUAUACCAUUUUUGCCUACAAUUUUCACAUAACAUGAUUUUUCCACAACAAUCAACAUGAUAUCAACACAUAGCACGGAUAGGGAGUAUGAACACAACAAGUUUAUCACAAAUUCACACAAACCCUAACCCCACAAAUAUAGAUUAUUUUCCCCCAAAGGCUAAAACUAUCUAAGAACUCACCUAGUAGAAGAAGAAGAUGAAGUUGGUGAUGAUGAAGAUGAGAUGAUGAAGAUGAUUUUCCCAUCUUCUUCCUUCCUUCCUCUUCUUCUCUUCUUCCUCUUUCUCUUUCUUCUUUUCCUCUUUCUUUCUCUUUUUCUUCUUCUCUCUUUCUUUUUCUUUCUGAUAACUCUCAUUCUCUCUUCUUCUAUUCUUAUCCUUUCUUCUUUUCUUUCCUUUACCACACAUAAUACAUUACAUAUAUAAUAUAUAUAAUAUAUAAUAUUAAGUAGUAAUCAAAAUAUCCCAAUUGAUAUUUCAUCUUCCAACACCAAUUGACCAAUUAUUAAUGUUAC